UGGCUGACGGGGACACCGGCGUGGGUCCCUUGCGUGUCACUCAUCGCCCCCCCUUUGUCCCCAGGCUCCGAUUUCGGGGCGGUGGAGGACGCCCAGACGUACGUCCGUAUGGCGGCCCGUGACGAGCGCCGCUUCCGCGCCGCCGACCGCGACGGUGACAUGGCGGCCACCGCGACCGAGCUGGGCGCCUUCCUGCACCCCGAGGACUUCGAGCACAUGCAGGACGUCGUGGCCAUGGUGUGUCACUCAGUGUCACCCCCCGCUGUCCCCGUGGUGCCACCCGCUGUCCCUUCGGUGUCUGGUGGUGUCCCCUUGGUGUCCCCCUGGUGUCAUCUGAUGUCCCCUUGGUGGCACCUCGGGGCCCUUGGGGUCUCCUGGGGGCUUUUUGUCCCCCUGCUGUCCCCGUGGUGCCACCCGGUGUCCCUUCGGUGUCUGUUGGUGUCCCCACGGUGUCACCUCGGGGCCCUUGGUGUCCCCUUGGUGUCACCAAAGGUCCCUUGGUGUCCUCUUGAUGUCCCCACGGUGGCACUUUGAGGCCCUUGGUGUCCCCUUGGUGUCCCCCUGGUGUCCCUGCGCGUCCCCUGGUGUCACCUGUGGUCCCCUGCUGUCCCCUUGGUCUCCCCCUGUUGUCCCCGUGGUGCCACCCAGUGUCCCUUUGGUGUCUGUUGGUGUCCCCACGGUGUCACCUCGGGGCCCUUGGUGUCCCCAUGGUGUCAUGCAGUGUCCCCUUGGUGUCCCCAGCUGUCUCUUGGUGUCCCCGUUGUCCCUUCUGUACGUCCUGGUGUCCCCAUGGUGUCCCCCAAUGUCCCCUGGAUGCCCUCUGGUGUCCCCUUGGUGUCCCUUGGUGUCCCUGGGUGUCCCCUUGGUGUCCCUUUCUGUCCCCCAGGUGUCCCCUGGGUGUCCCCUUUGUGCCCCCCCCCAAGGCACAGCACCCCCCCCAUGUCCCCCGCAGGAGACAAUAGAGGACAUGGACAAGGAUGGGGACGGCUUCAUCCAGCUGGAGGAGUACAUCGGUGAGGGGGGGCCACCCCAAUUUGUGUCCCCAACCCCACAUCCGUGUCCCCAACCC
rnacentral:lncRNA from 1 species